rnacentral:rRNA from 1 species
AUACGGAGGCUCCGAGCGUUAUCCGGAUUUAUUGGGUUUAAAGGGAGCGUAGGUGGAUUGUUAAGUCAGUUGUGAAAGUUUGCGGCUCAACCGUAAAAUUGCAGUUGAAACUGGCAGUCUUGAGUACAGUAGAGGUGGGCGGAAUUCGUGGUGUAGCGGUGAAAUGCUUAGAUAUCACGAAGAAAUCCGAUUGCGAAGGCAGCUCACUAGACUGUUACUGACACUGAUGCUCGAAAGUGUGGGUAUCAAACAGGAUUAGAUACCCUGGUAGUCCACACAGUAAACGAUGAAUACUCGCUGUUUGCGAUAUACAGUAAGCGGCCAAGCGAAAGCAUUAAGUAUUCCACCUGGGGAGUACGCCGGCAACGGUGAAACUCAAAUGAAUUGGCGGGG